GGGCCCGCUCGCGUGGCGCUGCGGUCUCCUUCCGCCCCCUCCUCGUUACCGUCCGUUUCGAGCUACUGCUCGCGCUACACGCAGACAGAAAUUGGAGCUCCUCAGCCGUAGUAAGGCCCAGCGGCACCCCGAGGUGUACCUGAUAUCAAUUCUCCUAUGUGGAUACGCUGUUCCAUCUUCUUUAUUUGGCAGCUGACAGACACCCUGAGAGAAGUUUUCAACUCUCAAGCAACAAAUCUACAGAAGCAACACAACAACAAACAUAGCAUCACUUGGAAUUCUCAAGAGUUAGCCGCAACAGAUGAAGGAAGGCACAUCCGCUAUCGCAGUACUAUUGUGAAACAGGCAGCUUGACAAAAGAAACUUUAUUGGAGUGUGAACUGAUGACCCAAAGUUACACUCACCCUCUAAAGUUUUAAUUCCUUCCUCAACAAACUUCCUGGCAGCAGCUGGACUAGAAAGAGACAAAGCAAGAUGCAAUCAGGAACAGCAAGAGUCUUACAACACUGAAAAGAACGUUUGUAUUCAUAGUAACUCCCUGGGUUCUUUGAGGCCAAGAUUAAACUUGCUUCUAAUGCUUA